AAGCUGUAGUUGAAUUUCGGGGUUAGUAGGUUGGUCAUGCCUCUGGUAUGUACUGGUCUCACUGAUUCCUCCUUCCUUAUGAACCGUAAUGCCAUUAAUUUGGUGUUGCGGGGAAUUUGGACUGUUACUUUGAAAAAAUUAGAGUGUUUAAAAGCAAGCUAACGCUUGAAUACAUUAGCAUGGAAUAAUGAAAUAGGACGUUCGAUCUUAUUUUGUUGGUUUCUAGGAUUGACGUAAUGAUUAAUAGGGAUAGUUGGG
rnacentral:rRNA from 1 species